GGAAAACACAAAGCAAGAUCCAGGAGGUGAGAGAUCCAGCUUCUGUGUCACUGUUGGCAUCCCAAGAUGCUUUCCUGCUUCUCCUCAACAGUUAAAACUUUUACAUCAUGAACAUCUUUUCCUUAGUGUCCCACCCCCACCCCCAUUCCUUUGGCCUUCUGAGGACCAUCCUUGCAGGAUUCUGAUAGGACCACUUUUAUGCCUGGCUAUAGCUGUACUUGCUUUCAAGUCUCUGUUCCUCACCUCUUAUAUGCCUCCUUUAAAGUCUGAGCUCACUAGAGAGCACCCUAUGAGGCCACAUCACAUGGGUCUUUUUAGAGGCCUCAGCAGAGCCCUUCACAACAGUAUCAUCACCACUGGAGCCUUUCAUUCCUCUUGAGGCCUUUUCAUUUAGCAAUUCCAUAAGGGAUAUAGGAAGGAAGGAAGGGAGGGAGGAAGGAAGGAAGGAAGGAAGGAAGGAAGGAAGGAAGGAAGGAUGGAAGGAAGGAAGGAAGGAAGGAAGGAAGGAAGGAAGGAAGGAAGGAAGGAAGGAAGGAAGGAAGGAAGGAAGGAAGGAAAGAAGGAAGGAAGGAAGGAAGGAAAGAAAAAGAAGGAAGGAAGGAAAGAAAAAGAUGGAAGGAAGGAAGGAAAGAAAGAAGGAAAGAAGGAAAGAAGGAAAGAAAGAAGGAAGGAAGGAAGGAAGGAAGGAAGGAAGGAAGGAAGGAGAAGGAAAGAAAAGGAAGGAAGGAAAAGGAAGGAAGGAAGGAAGGAAGGAAGGAAGGAAGGAAGGAAGGAAGGAAGGAAGGAAGGAAGGAAAAGGGGAAGGAAGGAAGGAAGGAAAGGAAAGGAAGGAAAGGAAGGGGAAAUUGCGCUGUAGCUUGAGAAAAGUUUUGGAUCUGUGGCGGGGGGGGGGGGGGUGACAGAGCUGUUCUGGAGAAAAGAGUACAAGGAUUGGCUUGAGGAGGUGAGGGUUGGGUGAAAUUUGGAGUAGACUAAGUCAAGGUGACUUUUUCCAGUGAUCUUCAUCAGGCCUUGAGCAAGAUGGGAGAAGGCAGAUUGGGGGCGAUCCACAGUCGGUGGUCUAGAGAUCCAAUGAGUCAAUCCACCCACCCACCCGUUCCAAAGACCAUUGGAUGAGGGAUUUAAGGGUCAAGGACUGUGUAGAGUUGAACUGGCUAAACAAAAGGGAGGAGAGGGAGGCCAGAGCACAGAAGGGGACGCCUGGCAGUGCAGGGAGGGCUGAGGGACUUGGGUUGGGGUGGCGAUAGAGAAGGGCUCUGGGAGGGGGAGGAGCAGGGAGAUCUGGAAGGACGGGAGGUUCCGGCCGUGGAGGUGGUGCAUUGGUGAGUGAUGAGCUAAGGUGGUGGAUCAGGAGAGCUGAGGAGGUGAGAAAUGGGAGUGAGUGACCUGGGGGGCUGGACCACUUCCAUGGUCUUGGAGUGGGAUGGAGACCCUGGAAGGAUCACUGAGGAGCAGCCCUCCUGUCCCCCUUGGCCUGGGCUCUGCGGCUUGGGGUUGGGUGGGGAACCUGAGAGAAGGGACGCCCACCCCAACUGGAGAAGCGCCCCUGGACAGGAUCUGCCUAGGGUGAGGCAGGUUUCUGGGACUCGACGGUGUGAAAAGAACAGGUCUGAUAGGAAAGACGGGUUACAAAUAAUACAAAGAAGAGUACCUGUGUGGCUCUGGGGAUGGAGAGCCCAGGCCCAGAGAUAGGAGGUCCCUGGGUUCAAAUGUGGCCUCAGACAUUUCCUGGCUGUGUGACCCUGAGCAAGUCACUUGAUCCCCCAUUGCCUAGCCCUUACCAUUCUUCUGCCUUGAAAUCCAAUACAUAGUAUUGGAUUUCAAGACAGAAGGUAAGGCUGUUUUU
ensembl:lncRNA